rnacentral:rRNA from 1 species
UACUAAGGGGGCUAGCGUUGCUCGGAAUCACUGGGCGUAAAGCGCACGUAGGCGGAUCUUUAAGUCAGGGGUGAAAUCCCAAGGCUCAACCUUGGAACUGCCUUUGAUACUGGGGAUCUCGAGUCCGGAAGAGGUUGGUGGAACUGCGAGUGUAGAGGUGAAAUUCGUAGAUAUUCGCAAGAACACCAGUGGCGAAGGCGGCUCACUGGCCCGAUACUGACGCUGAGGCACGAAAGCGUGGGGAGCAAACAGG